UGGUAGUGUAUUGGACUACCAUGGCGAUCACGGGUAACGGGGAAUUAGGGUUCGAUUCCGGAGAGGGAGCCUGAGAAAUGGCUACCACAUCUAAGGAAGGCAGCAGGCGCGUAAAUUACCCAAUCCUGACUCAGGGAGGUAGUGACAAGAAAUAACAAACCGGGGCACCUAGUGCUUACGGGAUUGCAAUGAACACAACCUAAAAACCUUAGUGAAUGCAAUUGGAGGGCAAGUCUGGUGCCAGCAGCCGCGGUAAUUCCAGCUCCAAUAGCGUAUAUUAAAGUUGUUGCAGUUAAAAAGCUCGUAGUUGAAUUUCUGGGCGACUGCUGGCUGGCUUCGGUCAGUCAGGGUCUGUCCAUCCGUUUGGGAACCGCAUUCGACCUUCACUGGUCGGUGCGGGGAACAAACAUUUUACUUUGAAAAAAUUAGAGUGUUUCAGGCAGGCAAUCGCCGGAAUACAUUAGCAUGGAAUAAUGGAAUAGGACUUUGGUCCAUUUUGUUGGUUAUUGGUCCAAAGUAAUGAUGAAUAGGGACAGUUGGGGGCAUUAGUAUUUAAUUGUCAGAGGUGAAAUUCUUGGAUUUAUUAAAGACUAACUAAUGCGAAAGCAUUUGCCAAGGAUGUUUUCAUUAAUCAAGAACGAAAGUUAGGGGAUCAAAGACGAUCAGA
rnacentral:rRNA from 1 species